UAUCGCGCUUGGUUGAAAGCCAGUGGCGCGAAGCUACCGUGCGCUGGAUUAUGACUGAACGCCUCUAAGUCAGAAUCCGGGCCAGAAGCGACGCGUUGUCCGCCGCUCGUUUGCCGACCAGCAGUAGGGGCCCUCCGGCCCCCAAAGGCACGUGUCGUUGGCUAAGCCCUCGCGGCGGACGAGCCGCGCGGGCCGCCUUGAAUUACAAUUUCCACCGGGCGGCGGACUGAAUCCUUUGCAGACGACUUAAAUACGCGACGGGGUAUUGUAAGUGGCAGAGUGGCCUUGCUGCCACGAUCCACUGAGAUUCAGCCCUUCGUCGCUCCGAUUCGU
rnacentral:ncRNA from 1 species